rnacentral:lncRNA from 1 species
UUGAAAGGGGCUCUGCAGUGGCUCGGCCUGCUGACUUGGGCUUAUGAGAGAAAGUUGGGGCAGGCUACUGUUGUGUGGGCCUAGGGUCAGCCCGUGUUGGCUUUAGAAGUUGAGUGGGAGGCGCGUGGGAUCGGCCCGAUAGGAAUGGGUUUGAGGGGAAGAGGGGCGGUGGCAAGUGACAGGGGUUCGGGAUGGGGACGGCCGGCGGCGGAGCAGAGGAAGCGGCAGGCGGGUGGCGGCGGUCUGGUGCAGCGGCAAAUGGAGGGGAAGCCGGAGGCGGCGAGGGGCUUUGGUGGAGGGGACGGCGAUGGGAGUUCGGAAGGUGGCGGCGAGGCGGAGGCAGCAGUGGGCGGCGUGCGAUCGGAGAAGAAGCGGUGGGGGUGGCGAAGGCGGCAAGGCGGGCGGC